rnacentral:rRNA from 1 species
CGGCGGACGGGUGAGUAACACGUGGAUAACCUACCUAUAAGACUGGGAUAACUUCGGGAAACCGGAGCUAAUACCGGAUAAUAUUUUGAACCGCAUGGUUCAAAAGUGAAAGACGGUCUUGCUGUCACUUAUAGAUGGAUCCGCGCUGCAUUAGCUAGUUGGUAAGGUAACGGCUUACCAAGGCAACGAUGCAUAGCCGACCCGAGAGGGUGAUCGGCCACACUGGAACUGAGACACGGUCCAG